AACUGUCAGUGAUGAUUUGUUUGAAAACAAUGGGAAUCUCUCUGAAUAAGAGUGAAAGAGCUUUUUAUUCUGAUGCAGUG